CCGUUUUUUUUUCUUCGUUUUCCUUAUGCCUGAAACUUGUGCUGAAUCUCAAGGAGCGUUGUCGUGCUCGUAUUUGCAAUCCAGCCUCUGUGGCCACUGCAACAGCCAUGUGUGCUUGUGUGCCUGCACAAAGUUUUGGGGUUGUCUGGAAGCGCGGGCGGGACACCAUCGGUGCUCAUGGAAGCGACUCGUUUUGUGAACGGCCUGUCUUCUACGCGGACACCCGCUUGAUCUGGGUGGACGCGCGGAAUAUUCUGGCUAUUACGGCUGGGUGGAGUCCAGGGGCUUCCACCGGUGAAUCACUGGCGUUAUCGGUUACGAGGAGGGAGACGCCACACUUCCCAGGGGACCUGGCCUAGCACGAUCGAGGUGGAGGUCUCACUUUUACCCGGCAGUUGCCUGUCGAUGGCAGGAUGUGGCUUUCUCGACUUAGAGCUGCAUUUCACUCAAGGUCAUGCAUGCUGGACCUAUGCGCCACGCUCGAAGAAACCCCCUCUUCCUUUUUCGCCAAACCACUCAAAACUGGCGAAAAGGGCCAUCGCCAGUGUCUCCUUGAUCGAGGAGCACCUCAGCCAGCUUCUACCAUCACCAGGUGGCCCGUAGCUACGAUACUCAGGUACAGUGACUGAAGGCGAGCGGCUAUCCCGAAUCCCUGUCGUCUGCCUUGACUGGUGAUCUCUUGCGUGAGGUCCGCGCCUCCAAGGACCACGUCAGACCGGCCCUUGACCAAUCCAAGGUGGUGGUAAUCCCUUCCUUAUGUGCGCAGCAUUUCUCAUCGAGUUAAGAAAGCCGCGGGAUAUUGGGGGUAAGGGGGGUGUUCUGUACUCGGCUCCCAACAAACUAGGCUCCCUCUGCAAAAAAAAAAAAAAGUGUAAGCUAGCAAACCCGCCAACAGGUCUUGUGCCAAGAAGCCCACCACCAGCUGUGCGUGUUGCCAAAAGCGAGGCGGCGCACGAGAUCCUGACCUCGUGCGAUCCCGAUCUUAUGUAGAACAAUCGGGCCGUUGCCUUGACGAUCGUCUGCGCGGACACGCCAAUAACGUGAAGACAAAAAAACGGGAG